rnacentral:rRNA from 1 species
CCUACGGGUGGCAGCAGUGAGGGAUAUUGGUCAAUGGGGGAAACCCUGAACCAGCAACGCCGCGUGCGGGAUGACGGUUUUCGGAUUGUAAACCUCUGUCCUCUGUGAAGAUGAUGACGGUAGCAGAGGAGGUACCUACGGCUAAUGACGUGCCAGCAGCCGCGGUCAUACGUAGGGAGCAAGCGUUGUCCGGAUUUACUGGGUGUAAAGGGUGCGUAGGCGGCUUUGCAAGUCAGAAGUGAAAUCCAUGGGCUUAACCCAUGAUCUGCUUUUGAAACUACAGAGCUUGAGUGGGGUAGAGGUAGGCGGAAUUCCCGGUGUAGCGGUGAAAUGCGUAGAGAUCGGGAGGAACACCAGUGGCGAAGGCGGCCUGCUGGGCUCUAACUGACGCUGAGGCACGAAAGCGUGGGUAGCAAACAGGAUUAGAUACCCCGGUAGUC